GAUGAACGCCGGCGGUGUGCCUAAUACAUGCAAGUCGAACGCGUUGGCCCAACUGAUUGAACGUGCUUGCACGGACUUGACGUUGGUUUACCAGCGAGUGGCGGACGGGUGAGUAACACGUAGGUAACCUGCCCCAAAGCGGGGGAUAACAUUUGGAAACAGAUGCUAAUACCGCAUAACAAUUUGAAUCGCAUGAUUCAAAUUUAAAAGAUGGCUUCGGCUAUCACUUUGGGAUGGACCUGCGGCGCAUUAGCUUGUUGGUAGGGUAACGGCCUACCAAGGCUGUGAUGCGUAGCCGAGUUGAGAGACUGAUCGGCCACAAUGGAACUGAGACACGGUCCAUACUCCUACGGGAGGCAGCAGUAGGGAAUCUUCCACAAUGGGCGCAAGCCUGAUGGAGCAACACCGCGUGAGUGAAGAAGGGUUUCGGCUCGUAAAGCUCUGUUGUUAGAGAAGAACGUGCGUGAGAGCAACUGUUCACGCAGUGACGGUAUCUAACCAGAAAGUCACGGCUAACUACGUGCCAGCAGCCGCGGUAAUACGUAGGUGGCAAGCGUUAUCCGGAUUUAUUGGGCGUAAAGCGAGCGCAGGCGGUUUGAUAAGUCUGAUGUGAAAGCCUUUGGCUUAACCAAAGAAGUGCAUCGGAAACUGUCAGACUUGAGUGCAGAAGAGGACAGUGGAACUCCAUGUGUAGCGGUGGAAUGCGUAGAUAUAUGGAAGAACACCAGUGGCGAAGGCGGCUGUCUGGUC
rnacentral:rRNA from 1 species